CCCCAGUAAACGGCGGCCGUAACUAUAACGGUCCUAAGGUAGCGAAAUUCCUUGUCGGGUAAGUUCCGACCCGCACGAAAGGCGUAACGAUUUGGGCACUGUCUCAACAACAGACUCGGUGAAAUUGUAAUUCCGGUGAAGAUGCCGGAUACCUGCGACAGGACGGAAAGACCCCAUGGAGCUUUACUGUAGCUUGACAUUGGGUCUUGGUACUACAUGUACAGGAUAGGUGGGAGGCUUUGAAACCAGGACGCCAGUUUUGGCGGAGCCAUCCUUGGGAUACCACCCUUGUAGUACUGGGACUCUAACCAUAGGCCAUGAAUCUGGUCUUGGGACACUGUCAGGUGGGCAGUUUGACUGGGGCGGUCGCCUCCCAAAAGGUAACGGAGGCGCUCAAAGGUUCUCUCAGUACGGUCGGAAAUCGUACGUAGAGUGUAAAGGCAAAAGAGAGCUUGAUUGCAAGACAUACAGGUCGAGCAAGGAUGAAAAUCGGACUUAGUGAUCCGGUGGUUCUGCGUGGAAGGGCCAUCGCUCAACGGAUAAAAGCUACCCUGGGGAUAACAGGCUUAUCUCCCCCAAGAGUCCACAUCGACGGGGAGGUUUGGCACCUCGAUGUCGGCUCAUCACAUCCUGGGGCUGUAGUAGGUCCCAAGGGUUGGGCUGUUCGCCCAUUAAAGUGGUACGCGAGCUGGGUUCAGAACGUCGUGAGACAGUUCGGUCCCUAUCCGUCGCAGGCGUAGGAAAUUUGAGAAGACCUGUCCUUAGUACGAGAGGACCGGGAUGGACGUACCUCUGGUGUACCAGUUGUCCUGCCAAGGGCAUGGCUGGGUAGCUAUGUGCGGAAUGGAUAAGCGCUGAAAGCAUCUAAGCGCGAAGCCAACUUCAAGAUAAGAUUUCCCACCGCAAGGGUAAGACCCCAGAAAGACUAUCUGGUUGAUAGGUCGAAGGUGUAAGUGCAGCAAUGUAUUUAGCUUAUCGAUACUAAUAGG
rnacentral:rRNA from 1 species